CCUACGGGCGGCAGCAGUAGGGAAUAUUGCUCAAUGGGGGAAACCCUGAUGCAGCAACGCCGCGUGGAGGAUGAAGGUUUUCGGGUUGUAAACUCCUUUUGUUGGAGAAGAUAAUGACGGUAUCUAACGAAUAAGCACCGGCUAACUCCGUGCCAGCAGCCGCGGUAAUACGGAGGGUGCAAGCGUUACGCGGAAUCACUGGUCGUAAAGAGAGCGUAGGCGGGAUGGCAAGUCAGAUGUGAAAUCCUAUGGCUUAACCAUAGAACUGCAUUUGAAACUGUUAUUCUAGAGUAUGGGAGAGGGAGGUGGAAUUCUUGGUGUAGGGGUAAAAUCCGUAGAGAUCAAGAGGAAUACUCAUGGCGAAGGCGACCUGCUAGAACAUAACUGACGCUGAUGCGCGAAAGCGUGGGGAGCAAACAGGAUUAGAUACCCGGGUAGUC
rnacentral:rRNA from 1 species